UGGUGUGUACUGGCUUUACUGAUUCCUCCUUCUUGAAGAACUGUAAUGUCAUUAAUUUGGUGUUGCAGGGAAACAGGACUGUUACUUUGAAAAAAUUAGAGUGUUUAAAGCAGGCUUACGCUUGAAUACGUUAGCAUGGAAUAAUGAAAUAGGACGUUCGAUCCUAUUUUGUUGGUUUCUAGGAUUGACGUAAUGAUUAAUAGGGAUAGUUGGGGGCAUUAGUAUUCAAUUGUCAGAGGUGAAAUUCUUGGAUUUAUUGAAGACUAACUACUGCGAAAGCAUUUGCCAAGGAUGUUUUCAUUAAUCAAGAACGAAAGUUAGGGGAUCGAAGACGAUCAGAUACCGUCGUAGUCUUAACCAUAAACUAUGCCCGACUAGGGGAUCGGAUGAUGUUAAUUUUUUA
rnacentral:rRNA from 1 species